UACGGAGGGUGCAAGCGUUGUCCGGAUUUAUUGGGUUUAAAGGGUGCGUAGGCGGCUUUUUAAGUCAGCGGUGAAAUACUUCAGCUCAACUGGAGUCGUGCCGUUGAUACUGGGAAGCUUGAGUACUGAUGAAGUGGGCGGAAUUGAAGGUGUAGCGGUGAAAUGCAUAGAUAUCUUCAAGAACACCGAUUGCGAAGGCAGCUCACUAAGGAGUAACUGACGCUGAGGCACGAAAGCGUGGGUAGCAAACAGG
rnacentral:rRNA from 1 species